UGACUUAACUUAUCGUCUUAUUUGGCUCUUGCUUAAGAGCAAUGUAAUUCCAAUUUAACAAACGUGCGGGGAUAUAUAGGUCUUUUAUUUGGAGUCAGACACAUUGGCCCAAAAGGGGGACACAGAGGAGGAAAUCCCCAACUUGUGCAUCUGCUCUUUUUACCUGAAACAUUGCAUUUCAUCAGAGUGUAAUCAUACCUUUUGAUGUUAACGUUCCCUAUAUUAGUCCUGUUCUGGGAGAA